GAACCAGACUCCUACGGGAGGCAGCAGUGGGGAAUAUUGCACAAUGGGGGAAACCCUGAUGCAGCGACGCCGCGUGAGCGAUGAAGUAUUUCGGUAUGUAAAGCUCUAUCAGCAGGGAAGAAGAUGACGGUACCUGACUAAGAAGCCCCGGCUAACUACGUGCCAGCAGCCGCGGUAAUACGUAGGGGGCAAGCGUUAUCCGGAUUUACUGGGUGUAAAGGGAGCGUAGACGGCGGCGCAAGCCAGAUGUGAAAGGCCGGGGCCCAACCCCGGGACUGCUCUGGAAACUGCGUCGCUGGAGUACGGGGGGGGCAGGCGGAAUUCCUGGUGUAGCGGUGAAAUGCGUAGAUAUCGGGAGGAACACCGGCGGCGAAGGCGGCCUGCUGGACCGUGACUGACGCUGAAGCACGAAAGCGUGGGUAUCGAACAGGAUUAGAUACCCGGGUACCA
rnacentral:rRNA from 1 species